rnacentral:tRNA from 1 species
GGCCUUGUAGCUCAGCUGGUAGAGCAUGCGCGUACAAAGCGUAGGCGGUGUCCAUGCGUGGGUUCAAAUCCCACCGAGGCUA